rnacentral:rRNA from 1 species
GGGCCCGCACAAGCGGUGGAGUAUGCGGUUUAAUUCGAGGCAACGCGAAGAACCUUACCCGGGCUUGACAUCACCGAAAGGAUCCAUGCCUACUGGAAACAGUAGGAUUAGGAAGACAGGUGUUGCAUGGCUGUCGUCAGCUCGUGUCGUGAGAUGUUGGGUUAAGUCCCGCAACGAGCGCAACCCUUAUCACCAGUUACCAUCGGUCCGGCCGGGGACUCUGGUGAAACUGCCGCCGACAAGGUGGAGGAAGGUGGGGAUGACGUCAAGUCAGCAUGGCCCUUACGUCCGGGGCUACACGCGUACUACAAUGGCUGGUACAAUGGGGAGCAAGACCGUAAGGUGGAGCGAAUCCUCAAAACCAGCCCCAGUUCAGAUUGGGGUCUGCAACCCGACCCCAUGAAGGCGGAAUCGCUAGUAAUCGUAGAUCAGCAUGCUACGGUGAAUACGUUCCCGGGCCUU